AAAAAGAUAAGCUAAGCAAGCUAAUGGGUUCAUACCCCGUAUAUAAAGGUUUAAAUCCUUUUCUUUUUA
rnacentral:tRNA from 4 species